GACGAACGCUGGCGGCGUGCCUAACACAUGCAAGUCGAACGGGGUAGCCCUUCGGGACUACUUAGUGGCGAACGGGUGAGUAACGCGUGAGGAACCUGCCUCUCAGUGGGGGACAACAGUUGGAAACGACUGCUAAUACCGCAUAACGCAGCGAGAUCGCAUGAUCUUGCUGUCAAAGCUUUAUGUGCUGAGAGAUGGCCUCGCGUCUGAUUAGCUAGUUGGCGGGGUAACGGCCCACCAAGGCGACGAUCAGUAGCCGGUCUGAGAGGAUGAACGGCCACAUUGGGACUGAGAUACGGCCCAGACUCCUACGGGAGGCAGCAGUGGGGAAUAUUGGGCAAU
rnacentral:rRNA from 1 species